rnacentral:rRNA from 1 species
GAUGAACGCUGGCUACAGGCUUAACACAUGCAAGUCGAGGGGAAACGACGGGGAAGCUUGCUUCCCCGGGCGUCGACCGGCGCACGGGUGAGUAACGCGUAUCCAACCUGCCUCUGACUGAGGGAUAACCCGUCGAAAGUCGGCCUAAUACCUCAUGGUAUCGUCUGCGGGCAUCCAACGACGAUUAAAGAUUUCAUCGGUCAGGGAUGGGGAUGCGUCUGAUUAGCUUGUUGGCGGGGUAACGGCCCACCAAGGCUACGAUCAGUAGGGGUUCUGAGAGGAAGGUCCCCCACAUUGGAACUGAGACACGGUCCAAACUCCUACGGGAGGCAGCAGUGAGGAAUAUUGGUCAAUGGGCGAGAGCCUGAACCAGCCAAGUGGCGUGCAGGAAGACGGCCCUAUGGGUUGUAAACUGCUUUUAUGCGGGGAUAAAGUGAGGGACGUGUCCCUCAUUGCAGGUACCGCAUGAAUAAGGACCGGCUAAUUCCGUG